ACGGGAGGCGCAGUGGGGAAUAUUGCCCAAUGGGGGAAACCCUGAUGCAGCGACUCCGCGUGAGCGAAGAAGUAUUUCUGUAUGUAAAGCUCUAUCAGCAGGGAAGAAAAUGACGGUACCUGACUAAGAAGCCCCGGCUAACUACGUGCCAGCAGCCGCGGUAAUACGUAGGGGGCAAGCGUUAUCCGGAUUUACUGGGUGUAAAGGGAGCGUAGACGGCAAGGUAAGUCUGAAGUGAAAUGCCGGGGCUCAACCCCGGAACUGCUUUGGAAACUAUCUCGCUCGAGUACCGGAGGGGUAAGUGGAAUUCCUAGUGUAGCGGUGAAAUGCGUAGAUAUUAGGAGGAACACCAGUGGCGAAGGCGGCUUACUGGACUGUAACUGACGUUGAGGCUCGAAAGCGUGGGGAGCAAACAGGAUUAGAUACCCUGGUA
rnacentral:rRNA from 1 species